rnacentral:sRNA from 1 species
CAUUUUUUUGAGACAAGGUCUCCUGUAGCCCCAGCUGUCCUUGAAUUCUAUAGCUGAAGAUGGCUUGAACUCAUGCUCAUCCUGCCUCGAUCUCCCAAGUGCUGGGGUUCCAGGCUCUUUCGACAGCUCCCUCCUUGUAACAGAGCCAGUUUGAAGAAAGUAAUCGAACUUCUAAAUCUAGAGAACCAGGGUUUAUUUCCCUGGCAUCGCGGUUCACACCAUCUGUAACUACAGCACCAGGGAAUCCUACGGCCCCCUUUGACCUCCAGGGGCACCGAGCAUGCAAAGACGAAAACAGUCACAAAUAAAGUAGAAUGGAUAAAUGUUAACAACACGUAUAAGACCGACGCAUUACUGUAGAAACGUGUAUACGAGCAUUAACAGCAGCACAGCUCGAGUGUUUGCCACCUGACGGACGAAAUGUAUUUAUAUACUGUGGAUGGUUACCCACUGUAAGGGGCGGUGCGUUGAUACGAUGCAGUGAAACCUGAAAACCUCACAGGAUCAGGACAAAGAGAUGGGAAGACAAAGGAGCGGCAAAUCUCUGUUGGCAUGCGGAUCCCAGGCAAGAAUGGUCACUGAGGAUCCUGUCUCCAGGAUGACAAGGAUAACUGGCAGGACGAAGUGCACGGGAUCGCCAUGAGGAGCAGCCAUGAGGCCAGAGCUGUGAGGUGCAGCAUGAUUGGCUGGCACUGGUGAAGCUGCCCGGUGUGCAGAGGGUCAGUGCUUGGUCUGGAGGCCUGGGCUGGCUGAAAACACAUUCAGCAUCGUCUGGUAUCUGCUUUGAAAUUCCAGUUUCAUUACCGUAAAUAGUCUCACAUCAUUCAGGUGGGCCUUGAACUGUGUGCUCGAAGAGGACCUUGGACGUCUGAUCUGUCUGCCUUCCACUUCCCGAGUGCAGGGAUUACCGGAGUGUGCCAUCAUACUCAGCCUAAACUCAGUUUGAACUAGCACCGAAGCCGGGCCUUCUCAAACUGCUACCCAGAACCCAAAUGCUGUAAGCUGGGCUUGGAAGAUGCCCAAAAGCUCUAAAGCUCCCUCGCUCCUCUCUCC